rnacentral:tRNA from 1 species
AAUUAAUGAGCUUGUUUAUAAGCUUUUGUUUUGAAAACUUAAGAAAGAAAAAUCUAUUUCUAUUAAUUU